rnacentral:tRNA from 1 species
UGGGGUAUAGCUCAGUGGUGGAGCAUUUCACUGCAGAUCAAAAUGUCUCAGAUUCAAAUCCUGGUGCCCCCU